AUGGUCGUCGCAAUUCUAGAGGAG
rnacentral:siRNA from 1 species